rnacentral:rRNA from 1 species
AUACGGGGGGUGCAAGCGUUAUUCGGAUUUAUUGGGCGUAAAGAGCGCGUAGGCGGCUUGGUAAGUCAGAUGUGAAAGCCCGGGGCUCAACCCCGGAAGUGCAUUUGAAACUAUCAGGCUUGAGUAUGGGAGAGGGAAGUGGAAUUCCUGGUGUAGAGGUGAAAUUCGUAGAUAUCAGGAGGAACACCGGCGGCGAAGGCGACUUCCUGGACCAAUACUGACGCUGAGGCGCGAAGGCGUGGGGAGCAAACAGGAUUAGAAACCCCAGUAGUCC